UACGUAGGGUGCGAGCGUUAAUCGGAAUUACUGGGCGUAAAGCGUGCGCAGGCGGUUCGUUAAGUCAGAUGUGAAAGCCCCGGGCUCAACCUGGGAACUGCAUUUGAAACUGGCGGGCUUGAGUAUGGCAGAGGGGGGUGGAAUUCCGCGUGUAGCAGUGAAAUGCGCAGAUAUCAGGAGGAACACCUACGGCGAAGGCAGCUCGCUGGGACGGUACUGACGCUGAGACGCGAAAGCGUGGGGAGCAAACAGG
rnacentral:rRNA from 1 species